UCUUGGCUGAAUUAAGUCCUUCGAAACAUGUGGCCAUUCAACUCUAUACACUCUACAGAGUAGGAUAAUAUUAUGGCCGUUUCUUUGAGUAAUCGUCUGAAUUUGUAAACUGUAGGCACUGAUCCAAUAGUGGGGCAUGCCCAGCACUAAUAAAAUAAAAUAAGGUAGAAGGUAUUAGAAUCAGGAAGCAUCACAUGCAGGAUGAGCAAGUUUGUUUCAUGAACCUUCUAUUUCAGUUGCAUGGGUGAGUGUGUGUGUGUGUGUGUGUGUGUGUGUGUGUGUGUGUGUGUAUCCAGGGUGUGUCAGAGGCGGCUGACUGGCUGCCAGAUCUGUGCUCCCCUCUCGGAGAAUACGUGUGUCCCGAGGGAGGGGGUGGGCUCCUGGAGUGACCAUCUCCAGACCCUUGCUCUAGGCAGGGCCCCUGGGUGACUUGCCCUCACUAAUGGAAUAUGAUUGAAAGUGACAUUUUACUUCUGGGUCAGGGUGGCUGGGUUCCUGAAUCACUUUGUGGAUUCAGGAUUCACCCACCAAGCAGGAAACAGUGCAUUGAAAUUAUGUGAGUGAGAAAUGAACUUUUCUCGUGUUAAGCCACUGACAUCUUGGGAUGUGAGUUACAGCACUUGAGGUUGUCCUAUGUAGUACGUGUAAAAUGUUUGUCUUAACGUGGGUUAUGGUCAGAAAAGUUUGAAAAAAGGACCUGAUCUAAUGUAACCCUUUCAUUUUCCGACGGAGAAGCCAAGUGUCAGGAACUGGGAGGGGCUCCCCAUGUCUUCUGAAUGAGCUGGGACCAAACCCUGCCUAAGCAGGAGGAUGACUGCUGUGUGGCCUGGGUGGGCUUUGUGUACUGCUGGACAGGGCAGAGCUGACUGCUGGGCUGCUGACUCCUGGGACAGUGCUCCUCCCACGCGCUCAGGGGCACGGAUCUGACAUUUACACUGUGCUUUGGGGCCUCUGCCCACAGCUGGGGACAGGAAGGGUGAACUCUGCCUGGCCUGCUGAACUAACUCUCACCUGGCUUCUGCUCAGGCUCUGUGGUUAACAUCUCUGCGGCGUACCAACAGACUUUCUCUGAAAAUCUAAGUUUCUCUGAAUCUCUGAGGUGGCAGGAUUCUGAGAAACCUGGCAGCGGCCUGGUCACCGCCAUGAGAGCACUAGCUGAAUUAUACGCACAUACGCCCAGGAACGACACCUCCAUUUUUAACACACAGUGAGUUCGGGCCCUGGUGCUGAUGCUGACACCGGCAGGUAGGAGCCUUCAGCCAUCACGUUCAUGCAUCCCACAGACUGGCAGAGCCUGUCACCCAGGUGCUGAGGCCACCCUGGAUCAGCGGGGGAGGGCACAAGGCUUGUGCCUUCCCCAUCACCUAGCCCCGUGACGUUAUUGUAAGAGUUAAUCAUGCAAGUGCUCAGUACCUGGGCACAGUACCUGACACUUCGCUGACCUGAUUGUAUUUGCAGCACCCCUGUCAUGUGGACAAGCUUGGCAUUCUCCCCAUCAUAUUACAGAUAAGGAAAUGGAGGCUCUCAGAGCUCACCUGUCAGACUCAAAGAACCUUCUUCACUGGCUGGACAUGGGCUGGAGCCCUGGCAUCUUGAAAAAGCAAUGCAUUGAAUAAGAAGGCUUUGCCUGUCUCCCGCGCUGGACCCCGAGCUCCCUGAAGACAGGGGUCUUGUCUAUCUUGUUCACCGUGCGUCUCCAGCUCCUAGAACACAUGUCAACUGGGACCGAAGGAUCCGCUUCCAAGACGGCUCACUCUAAGUCGGCCGCUGGCUGUUGGUUUCACACAGGCCUCUCUGCAGGGCUGCUUGGGUUUUCUUGCCACGUGAUGACUGGGUUCUAAGAACACUCGCUCUUGGAACUGAGGCACCAUGCUGCAAGGAAGCCCAGGCCACGUGAAGAGGCCACUUUGGGGAUCCCAGCAGAUAGCCCAUGAUCCUGGCAUCAACUGUCAGGCGUCUAAGUGAGCCAAUUCAGAGGACCCCGGCCCCCAGCCUUCGAGUCUUCCAUCAGAGGCACCAGUGACAAACCAUCCUCACCAUGUUCUGUCUGCAUUUCGGACCCACACGACCCAUGGGCAUGAUAAAUGGUUACUUAAUGCCAACUUUUCAGUGAUUUGUUGGGUAGCCAUAGUAACUGGCACACUGGGCAAAGUGAAAUAUAACAAUGCGACCUCCAGAAAGCAGUUCCACGGGCAGGAGGAGUCUGGUGGAAACUCACCAGAACGGUCCGGCCAUUGGAGCUGGCUUCCACCAGGUAUAAACUGGGGAGCAAGGGAAGGUGUUUUGGACAGAGAAAAGGGCAUAUGUGAGGCCUUGAGCCAGGAAGGGGCCCAGCAGGAAGAAGGUUAGUGGGCUAGGGGGACAGGGUGGGUGGCACAAGGGGCCACCCUUCAUCCUGGGCACUUGGAGGAGAGCCCUGGGUCAGAUCCGCUUCCAGGUAAGGAGGGGGGAUGGUAAGUCAGAGGAACAAGGCCCAGCGAGUGAGGACGAGGCCUCGAGGCCUCUGCUGUGCAGGUGCGUGGGUAAGAGGGCCUGCCCAAGCUGUGGGAUGGGAGGCUGUGCGGGAACCAGACGCUCCUGACUGGAUGGAUGCGGGGCUAGGACCAGAAGCUGAGGUGGCAGGAGGUGGGGAUCCCCAUGUUG